rnacentral:rRNA from 1 species
ACGAGCGGUGGAGCAUGUGGUUUAAUCGAAGCAACGCGAAGAACCUUACCAGGUCUUGACAUCCCCUGACAACCGAGAGAUCGGGCGUUCCCCUUCGGGGGACAGGGUGACAGGUGGUGCAUGGUUGUCGUCAGCUCGUGUCGUGAGAUGUUGGGUUAAGUCCCGCAACGAGCGCAACCCUCGACCUUAGUUGCCAGCAUUCAGUUGGGCACUCUAAGGUGACUGCCGGCUAAAAGUCGGAGGAAGGUGGGGAUGACGUCAAAUCAUCAUGCCCCUUAUGACCUGGGCUACACACGUGCUACAAUGGGCGGUACAAAGGGUCGCGAACCCGCGAGGGGGAGCCAAUCCCAUAAAGCCAGUCGUAGUCCGGAUCGUAGUCUGCAACUCGACUACGUGAAGUCGGAAUCGCUAGUAAUCGUGGAUCAGAAUGUCACGGUGAAUACGUUCCCGGGUCUU